rnacentral:rRNA from 1 species
GCACAAGCGGUGGAGCAUGUUGGUUUAAUUCGAAGCAACGACGAAGAACCUUUACCAGGUCUUGACAUCCCGAUGCUUAUUUCUAGAGAUAGAAGUUACUUCGGUACAUCGGUGACAGGUGGUGCAUGGUUGUCGUCAGCUCGUGUCGUGAGAUGUUGGGUUAAGUCCCGCAACGAGCGCAACCCCUAUUGUUAGUUGCCAUCAUUCAGUUGGGCACUCUAGCGAGACUGCCGGUAAUAAACCGGAGGAAGGUGGGAUGACGUCAAAUCAUCAUGCCCCUUAUGACCUGGGCUACACACGUGCUACAAUGGGCGGUACAGACGGAGGCGAAGCCGCGAGGCGGAGCAAAUCCGAAAAAGCCGGUCUCAGUUCGGAUUGCAGGCUGCAAUUCGCCUGCAUGAAGUCGGAAUCGCUAGUAAUCGCAGGUCAGCAUACUGCGGUGAAUACGUUCCCGGGCCUU